UACGUAGGGUGCAAGCGUUAAUCGGAAUUACUGGGCGUAAAGCGUGCGCAGGCGGUUAUGUAAGACAGAUGUGAAAUGCCCGGGCUUAACCUGGGAACUGCAUUUGUGACUGCAUGGCUAGAGUUUGGCAGAGGGGGGUAGAAUUCCACGUGUAGCAGUGAAAUGCGUAGAGAUGCGGAGGAACACCGAUGGCGAAGGCAGCCCCCUGGGCCAACACUGACGCUCAGGCACGAAAGCGUGGGGAGCAAACAGG
rnacentral:rRNA from 1 species